rnacentral:sRNA from 1 species
CCUUAAGCAGCGAAACACAAUACUCAGUUGAUACUCGAAGACCGGCCCCCCAAAAGGCUCUGUAUUCCACAGCCAUGGAAUCCAUCCAGGGAGAGGCUCGACGGGGUGGUACCAUGGAGACCGAUGACCAUAUGGGUGGCAUCCCUGCCCGGAAUAGUAAAGGGGAAAGGCUUCUGCUUUAUAUUGGCAUCAUUGACAUUCUACAGUCUUACAGGUGAGGAGCAUAUGGAUCCCAAAUUAAGAGAGGGUGGAUACAGAUAACCACUCACGUUUCUCUUUUAGAUGGGUUUGUUGCCAAGUUCUUCCGGAAGCAAGAACAGUGAGUUGCAGUCUGGCUACUUACUUCAUUGGUUUUGCCUCUUUCCCCGGCCUUUAUAACCCUUCCUCCCGCAUCUCCCCAGACAUAAUGUAUACCUUCUGUGGAAAGCUGAGUCAGUCCUUGGAAGCACCAGGGUAGAAUAUGCCAUCUGUCUGGCUCUUUGCAAAAACCUAUGAGAUGAGUCAUGUUCCACAUUGGGAUACAGCUGGAA